rnacentral:rRNA from 1 species
CAACGCCGGGAAACUCACCAGAUAAGACAGCUGAAUAAUAGUCGGGCUGAAGACUCUACUUGACUAGCUGAGAGGAGGUGCAUGGCCGUCGUCAGUUCGUACUGUGAAGCAUCCUGUUGAGUCAGGCAACGAGCGAGACCCACGCCAACAGUUGCCAGCUCGUCCUCCGGGAUGGAGGGGACACUGUUGGGACCGCCUCUGCUAAAGAGGAGGAAGGAAUGGGCAACGGUAGGUCAGCAUGCCCCGAAUUAUCUGGGCUACACGCGGGCUACAAUGGGUGGGACAAUGGGUAUCGACACCGAAAGGUGAAGGCAAUCUCCUAAACCCAUCCUUAGUUCGGAUUGUGGGCUGCAACUCGCCCACAUGAAGCUGGAAUCUGUAGUAAUCGUGUCCCAAAAUGGCACGGUGAAUAUGUCCCUGCUCCUU